AUGUCCAGAGCCUUUGAAAAUCAGAAAUGUUUACUGAGGGAAACUCUGUUACUGAAGCCCAGUGGAAUGGUGACAUCAGGAGAGACCCUGCUGUCUCUGAUCUUCAAGUGCUUUGCAAGCAUGAUAUCAGCAGCAACAGACUGCACUGAUGCCUUCCUUGACAGCUCAGCCUUGCACAAAAAAACAGUGCCAUUUGUGGUUGCAAAUUCCAGCUUCCCUGCAUGGAGUCCUCAAGGGCUCAGCACCUCCCAUGAGCUUGGACAGGCCGCAUACAUGGAAAUGAGUUGGUCAGGAGAGGGGAGGCAAAGGCUGCUGAAGUCCUUCUGCAGAUACACCCUUCAGUGCACUGAUGUGCACAGAGUCACCCCAGAAUGCAUACUGGCAGAAGACUCCUGGGCCAAGAAGACCGCAUGA
rnacentral:lncRNA from 1 species